CCUACGGGAGGCAGCAGUGGGGAAUAUUGCGCAAUGGGCGAAAGCUUGACGCAGCGACGCCGCGUGAGGGAUGAAGGUCUUCGGAUCGUAAACCUCUGUCAGCAGGGAAGAACGGUCACUGUGCUAAUCAGCAGUGAAUUGACGGUACCUGCAAAGGAAGCACUGGCUAACUCUGUGCCAGCAGCCGCGGUAAUACGGAGGGUGCGAGCGUUAUUCGGAAUUACUGGGCGUAAAGCGCUCGUAGGCGGUAUGUCAAGUCAAGGGGGAAAUCCCCGGGCUCAACGUGGGAACCGCCUUUGAAACUAGCAAACUGGAGUGUGUGAGAGGAUAGUGGAAUUCCAGGUGUAGGAGUGAAAUCCGUAGAUAUAUGGAGGAACAUCAGUGGCGAAGGCGACUAUCUGGCACAUAACUGACGCUGAGGAGCGAAAGCGUGGGUAGCAAACAGGAUUAGAUACCCGGGUAGUC
rnacentral:rRNA from 1 species